AUGAAGUCUCUAAGUCUCACAGUUCAAAAGUUAUGGCGAAGGUUAAAGUUGACAACAGACAAACAAACAGACAGACAUACAGCUAAACAGACAGACAGGACAAAAACAAUAUGCGCCCCGAAAAAAUUUGGGUGCAUAAAAACUGUCUUGGAGUUAACAGCAGUUCUCUGUUUCUCCUGAAUGUUAUGUACAAUUUGAUCGGGAUCGGAAGAAUGUUUCAAAAAGUCGGGCUCAGUGAUCAAUUAAUUUAAACAACAGACCGCCAAAAUUUAACCUUGGCCUCCAUGUUGCAACGUCUGCUCUGUCUAAAGGAAGAAGUUUGUUGACCAGACAGCCUGAGAUCGUAUUGCUGUAUCAACCAAAAGAUGCAGAUACACGUAUUUCAUAUGCGCGUCUGUGCAUGAGGAGGAGAUUUCUGAAAAAGAAUAAGUGCUUAUUCAACUUACUGCGAUUUUAACGGGCUUAAAGCUUGGUCCAUGGAUGGUUAUGUUUGAGGAUUUGCCAAUUCGACCGCAAGUGCUGCUGCAAGAAAUUAAACAUGCAGAGACCUUACAAAUUACAAAGAACUCUGAAGAAAAUUUUUAUUGGACAGAUGGGUGUAAAGCACAGACCUGAGAUAUAAAUUGAAUGUGAGAAAUAUGAAUCAGGGAUGGAGGUAGAAAAUGGCAAAUGUGAUCCAGAUUGAUAAAAAAUGUCUAAAAUUUUUUCUUGUUUUGUAAAUAUUCAAUGCUAUGUCAAUUGUUAUUUUUUCCCCAAUACCUAAUAGUGUUGAACAUUUCACUCCCACUUUUGCUUAAAUAGAAUGAAUAAAUUUCCAUUUAUUUAAUAUGAAUAUUAAAAAAUGCCACAUCUUUUCCAUGAUGAACUUGUGGCUUAAAUAAGAGUUCCAGUUUUUUUUUUUCCAUACAUGCUCCUAUUUGUUUGUCAAAGAUAUAAGAUCCAAUACAUUGCUCAUGAACAUAAUGUGUAAUUUUGUUCAUUCAUUUAUAUUUUUUGUUCUCAUAAUGAUAUAAUAAAUUGUAUAUAAUUUU